GCCGGGGUGGCGGAACCAGGCUAACGCGCCAGCCUUGAGAGCUGGUGGGGCAUCGCCCCGUGUGGGUUCAAAUCCCACCCCCGGCG
rnacentral:tRNA from 1 species